UACAUAGGUGGCAAGCGUUGUCCGGAAUUAUUGGGCGUAAAGCGCGCGCAGGCGGCCUCCUAAGUCCGAUGUGAAAGCCCACGGCUCAACCGUGGAGGGUCAUUGGAAACUGGGGGACUUGAGUGCAGGAGAGAAGAGUGGAAUUCCACGUGUAGCGGUGAAAUGCGUAGAGAUGUGGAGGAACACCAGUGGCGAAGGCGACUCUUUGGCCUGUAAUCGUGCGCUGAGGCGCGAAAGCGUGGGGAGCAAAAGGG
rnacentral:rRNA from 1 species